GACGUAGGGCGCGAGCGUUGUCCGGAUUUAUUGGGCGUAAAGAGCUCGUAGGCGGCUUGUCGCGUCGUCUGUGAAAUCCCGCGGCUCAACUGCGGGCUGGCAGUCGAUACGGGCAGGCUGGAGUUCGGUAGGGGAGACUGGAAUUCCUGGUGUAGCGGUGAAAUGCGCAGAUAUCUGGAGGAACACCGGUGGCGAAGGCGGCAUCCUGGACCAAUAUUGACGCUGAGGAGCGAAAGCCAGGGGAGCAAACGGG
rnacentral:rRNA from 1 species